rnacentral:rRNA from 1 species
AUUGAACGCUGGCGGCAGGCCUAACACAUGCAAGUCGAGCGGAUGAGAGGAGCUUGCUCCUCGAUUCAGCGGCGGACGGGUGAGUAAUGCCUAGGAAUCUGCCUAGUAGUGGGGGACAACGUUUCGAAAGGAACGCUAAUACCGCAUACGUCCUACGGGAGAAAGUGGGGGAUCUUCGGACCUCACGCUAUUAGAUGAGCCUAGGUCGGAUUAGCUAGUUGGUAGGGUAACGGCCUACCAAGGCGACGAUCCGUAACUGGUCUGAGAGGGUGAUCAGUCACACUGGAACUGAGACACGGCCCAGACUCCUACGGGAGGCAGCAGUGGGGAAUAUUGGACAAUGGGCGAAAGCCUGAUCCAGCCAUGCCGCGUGUGUGAAGAAGGCCCUCGGGUCGUAAAGCACUUUAAGUUGGGAGGAAGGGCUUACAGCGAAUACCUGUGAGUUUUGACGUUACCGACAGAAUAAGCACCGGCUAACUUCGUGCCAGCCGCCGCGGUAA